GCCAAGUCACUGGGGCAGUGGGGACGAUACUUCUCAUUUGUAGCCUUUCAAUUUGGUGCUCUAUCUGGCUGUCUUGAGAGCUAAACUCCCCAUUGCUCUUCUGGAAGGAGAGCUCGCUGUCCAGUACUGGGCGGGAUGACCGAGUGAACAGGGGACUGGAGGCGAGAUGUGGCUGGAGUCUGAAAGAAGCAGAGGAGUCACACUCCACUCACCUCCACCUCCCAAAGUGCUGGGAUCACAGGCUUGUGCCACCGCGCCCAAACAUAACUGAAGGCUUUACAGACAUGUCUGUGGCACCACAGAACACGAAUGGUCCCAAUGGAAACCCCAUGCCCAGUUUCCUCAGGGAACUAUUGUGGCGGAGGCUUACACCCCACGUGGUGGCCCUAGGGCGGGCAAAGCGCCUUAGAUCCCGAGUCUGCAGCCCAGGGCAGAGUGCCGACUUCUCAUCCCUUCAUACCCCAUAGAAUGGAAAGACACUGGGGCUUCUCUGUUGGGAGCGUAGGAGGGAAAGGCUGGACAAAAGGGCUCCCGAACAGCAGGUUCGGAGGAGAGCAACCCGGCCCUGACCCCCGCCCCCAACACCGUUCCCGACCUCGCUCCCCAGUGUCCCGGCUCUGCACCAAUUCCUCCCGCAAGCCAAGGAACCCCGAGGCACUCCUAGUCUCUAAACCGUUUAUUUCUCCCCACCAGAAGGUUGGGGUGGGCAGGCCUAGAACAGAGCGUGCGGCGGGUUCCCGGGUGGAGGCAGCGCAGACAGGGUGGGUCCCUGCGGCUCUUAGGCAAAGGUGGAGUUGUUCCAGCCCACGUUGGCCGCGUUCAUGUCGUAAUAGUUGAUGUAGACCCUGCGGGGGGGAGGAGGCCGGACUCAGCGGGCGGCUCAGUCCCGGGCCUAGCCGCGCGCCGCCGCCCCUCCCCCGCCCCUCCGCGCCUCAGCGUACCUGUCCGGGCUGAUGCGCAGGCGCUCGGCCAGCAGGCCGCACAGCAGCUUGCUGUAGGAACGGUUCUGCGCGCCGCCGAUCUUGCCGAUGCUGUGCAGGCUGCAGAGCGCGCACGGCUCGCUGGAGCCGCCGAAUGCCAUGAGCUGGUCCGGGACCACGUGCACCGCGAUGUACUGCGAGGAAGGGGCGCGGUCAGCCCGCCCCAGCGACCUCGUCGGGCCCCGAGCGUCCACUUCGGGCCCGAGCCAGCGUCCUCCCCCCGCCCCGCCCCCCAGCACCGUUCACGAGUCGCCUCCCCAGUUCCCAGCGCGGGACCCUCUCGUCCGGCGGGCACCCCCUCUUCCUGUCCCCUCCCGGCAAACCUGGGGCGGCUUGCCGGUGGCCUGCGCCAGCUGCUGGGUGAGCUCGGAGAGGAACCCGUCCGGCACGGAGGCGCGGGGCACGUUGGUGUUUACGAUGAACAUCGGCAUGAUGGCAGAAGGACCGGGAGACCCGCGCAGAGGCACAGACGCACGCGCU
rnacentral:antisense_RNA from 1 species